GUAAGGGAAGCUUUGUAGCAGGCUCUUACUAUAACAUGGUAUGCGCAGUGGACUUCUCAUGGACAGUGCUCUUGGAGAAAGGGCAUAGCUCAAUGAAAGAGUGCAUGCUUUGCAUUCCCCGCCCCACCCCAACUCAGUCUCUGGUAUCUACAAGCAAGUCAUUGGGGAGACUGCUGUCUGCAAUACUGGUAAGCCACUGCAAGUCAGUUUCUGCAAUACUUAGAUGUGCUAGGAUGGGCAGCUUCUUUCCAUCAUGUGAUGGCAUCCUCUUGCUCUGAAGUCAUGUCAUUCGGAUUAAAAGGGGGAAUUGUAGAAAAUGGAUUUUAGCCUACUUUUUUUUUAUUGACUGCCUGAGAUUGUUGCACAGCAUUAUAUCAUUUCCUCCUUCGCAGGUGACUUGGGCAAAGGCUUCUGGCAACAGCCUAAGCAGCUCUUAUAAAUUGGAAAUCCAAUUCUAGCUUUGGUUGCAUUAUGAAGACAAGUUAUUAUAUACUUGAGUGCUUUCUUGCUGGCUUUAUUACUUUUUACAUAGUAAAAAGUAAUCAGAUCUAAUUUAAGUCAAUAAACACAGAAGAGUGAAAAGUAUGAAAAAGGCAAUGAUCCAGAGCACAAAGGUUUGGAUAAUUUAUUACAGAAAUAUCAUGCAGAUCAUAUUCUUGUUUUGCUUGUCUAUCCACAAAAGGUAAUAUAAUGGAGUGCAAUCAAAUGGAAAAUUUAAAUUGGAUUUGAUUUAUGUGAAACUAUGAGCUGAUUUUGAAAACUAUCAAUUAAUCUGAAGAGGUGGAAAGGAAAUGUAGUAAGGACAAUUAACUCGAAGCCCUGAGCUGAAUUUUACAAGCACAUCCAGAGCCAAUACUGUGACUUUUCUCUUUUCUUACAUUUUCACAAAAAGCCUAAUGUGAUUUAUUUAGGGCCAUCCCAGCUUAUUUUCUGUAACUUACAUCUUCUGCCAUACUUGCACAAUAAAGUUCAGAAUGGCUGAGUAUUAUCUAUUAUGCUUAUUGUUGCACUGGAACUUCUUUUGUGUGGUGGAAACUGGUUUUGUGAUUUUAAAUCUCUGCCCCAAACCUGGAUCUAGGCACCCAGGGAAUUUCCCUUUUAUUGUUCAACCAAUUUACCAACGCUCCCCCCCCCCAAGCAGCCCCUGCAAAAAAACAACAACAACCCAAUAACGAUUUAGUCACAAUGUUUUAUGUUGGAUCAACUACGUCACUGUAAGCGGAAUGGCUUCCUGUCAUACAACAAACUCACCUCCUUGCCACCUUCACCUCCCAAUCUACUUGGGGUGUGUGUACCCCAGCCCUCUGGAGCAGAUUUUUGGAGGGGGGGGCAGGAGACACAAGGUUGGGAGGAGAGGGAGAGGAAGUUCCAUUGUGUGAGUGGAAGUUGUUCUGCUCAUGCAAUGAAUGGACAGGAAUCAACCCAGAUUCAAUAUUACUUGUUGGGUAUAUACAAAGGGGAUCUUUAAGGAAUGCCGAGGAUUCUAAAUAACAGUGGAUGUGCUAUUUGACUUGCCUUUUCCUAGUGAUAAAAUGCUGUAGUUUGAACACAUUUGUUUUGGGCUGGGGAGCAGACAUAUAUGAGAAAGGAAUCAUAGAAUCAUAGAGUUGGAAGAGACCACAAGGGCCAUCGAGUCCAACCCCCUGCCAAGCAGGAAACACCAUCAGAGCACUCCUGACAUAUGGUUGUCAAGCCUCUGCUUAAAGACCUCCAAAGAAGGAGACUCCACCACACUCCUUGGCAGCAAAUUCCACUGUCGAACAGCUCUUACUGUCAGGAAGUUCUUCCGAAUGUUUAGGAGCACAGAUUCCAUGCAACAAAUGAGUAGCAGCUGCACAUUUACUGAACACAUUAAAAGGAUGGUGCAGAGAGUAGAAGCUCUUACCUAUAAAUUUAUGCUGCCACAGUUUUGUCCUUUCUGGUUUGUUGGUUUGUUUUAAGCGUAGAAUUCUGUCUCCCCCUUGGUUAUCAUAUUUCAGUGAAAAUAGUAAUACAGAGGUUAAAAGGUUUCUUUUCUAAUGUAGUUAUAAAUACAGUAUCUGCUGCUUCUUUUUAAAGUGCAGAGAGGCCAAUAAACAGGUUCUCAAGCCAUGAGGCCAAGGUUCCCCAGGGAAGAUGUGACCUCCCCUUAAAUUAAGAGCAAGGAAAAAAAUUAAGAAGGGAGCAAUGAGUUUUAGUUCCUGCGGAACUAUUUUCAGCACAAAUAGGAUAAAGUGUGCCUUACAUGAUUGCAGCAACCUGCAUGCUAUUCACCCUUAUAAGGACCAGAUCCAUGAGGAGAGAAAGCAAUUUCAAUGUACUUUGGUCAACCUUAUUGAAAUUGCGUAUGAAUGAUGACCUUCCUUGGCAAAGUGUUUUCUACUGAGUCAUUAAUAAUAUGCUGACAUUAGAGAUAGGUAGUAGCUGCAGAAGUACUGAGAGGGCUUAACAUAUGAAUUAGUUUAGCAUGUUCUUUUGAAAUAUAACUUCCCAGGCAGUUUAGUGGACUAAAAGAAACCCCCAAAAACCCAAGACUGCCACUUUAGAAGGAAGUUUUCUGCUGGUGCUUAGAAGCUAACUCUUUUUGAGCUAGUGCUCAAAAGUGUGUGUGUGUGUGUGUGUGUGUGUGUGUGUGUGUAAACUGGGGCAGCACUGUCUGUCUGUUACAGCAAAAACAGCAAAAUAUAAACUAGCAUCUUAAAAAGUAACAAAUGCGUAGUGACAUAAUCUAGAGGUAGUCUAUAUAGUGCUCUCUAGAUUCUGUUGCAUGAUGCUGUUAAGUUUUAAAAGUAGCCUUUAAUACUUUUACCAGCUGUCAAUUUGUAGUUUUUAAUAGCUUGCUUUAUUUUAUUUUAAAUAUGUGUCUCUGUGUAUAUAUAUUUCAAAAUAGCUUAUAAAUGUAGCUCAGUGAUAUUUUUCUUACCCUGUUGUACCCAAAUUGGUUCUUUCUGAGACUGAAAUGCAGGUUCCAAAAUAUACUACUGGAUUGUUGCCUGCUGGCUGAUGUGGUGUAUUUUGUGCAACAGCUUGGUAAUAGGAUUUCCCCCAUUGUAUAUUACUAAACGUCCUCCCUGGAUAAUUGGUAGCAAAUGAUUUAGAGCUUUUUGUGAUGGCCAAUAUUAAAGCCAUAUUGGCAGCAAUGCUUAAAUUACAGGCAAUCAGAGGUGUCCUGGCUGCCUUAUAUUUUUGUGUGUGUUAUGAUCUCUUAGUUAAUGUUUUAGGUGGCUUGAAGGGGGACCAGGGUUUAGCUAGAAUUAGUGGGGCUUUUGGAUUUCACUAACCCCAUAGUUUAUAUACUGAUUGGGAGGCAAACAGUGACACUCUUUGAUUUCUUCCAAGGAGAGUUCUCAAAGGACUUGGGCUACAGGUAGCUGUGCAUAGUAAUGUGUGCUUGACUUCUGCGUCUUAGCAGAGUGAAAGGGAUGGAGUCAGUUUCUGUUACUGGCACCCACUAGCCCUGAUCUCAUAUUCUGCCCAUACACCGAGUGUGUAGAGACCAGGAUCAUGGUUUGCUUUUUCCAAACAAACUAACAGCAGUAACCAAGGUUUGUUCUUUGCUUAUUGCUCAUGGUCUGUUUUGAAGGAAACAAAUCACAAGCCUAGAUCAAUACAACAUGACAAGCUAGAAUUUAACUUGCAUUGACAAUGGUGCUGUAGCAGUCGAAGUGGAAGAGGCGAUUGCGCUGGGAACUUGUGGUGAGCACAUUGGGCCAAUAAGGUGCAGAUGCACUUCUGCCAUGUUUGCACUGUAGAAUUCCUUCUUUGCAUGCAUAGGAAGGGUACGUUCCAUUCAGAUCAUUCCAUUCAUACCAUGAAGAUUCUUCUCUCUGGGGAUUUUAACUUAUCUUCAGAUAUAAUUGUCAUUGUCAAUAUAUUUGCAAACCACAUUUUCCACAAGUAAAUCUGUGCUCAGAUCACCUCACAGAAAAAUAAAAGUCCAAAUACAGAAACAACACAUGAUAAGACAUAUCAUCUGGCUGGGUUUCCCCGCCCACUCUGGGUGGCUCCCAACAGAAUAUUAAAAACACGAUAAAACAUCAAAAACUUCCCUAAACAGGGCUGCCUUCAGAUGUCUUCUAAAAGUCAGAUGGUUGUUUAUUUCCUUGACAUCUGAUGGGAGGGCGUUCCACAGGGCGGGCACCACCACUGAGAAGGCCCUCUGCCUUUAACAUAACAGUAAAAAAUAAUAGCCAACAAUAAGCAUUAUAUUUAACAUAUAAGUAAUCAUACAGCUUAUUAAUAGGUGAAUAUCAAUAUGGAUGCAUGGAUAUAUCUUGGAAGAACAUUUUCUGGGUUUAUAUGUGGAUUUUUGAAGGCAAUGUCUUACAGUAGCAGGUUUAUGUUUACAGCAAUCUUCCAGUCUGACAUGAGGAUUAUGUGAUAUUUUUUGGGUCAGCCUUCGAGCUCCUAUUGGCAAACCUGAAUGGCAGAGCUCCCCAUUCAGUUUGGUCCUGUAGGUGGAAUCCUAUUUAUUUCUGCAGCUCUUUCACUGGCAAUGAAUGAUCAAAUACUUACCUACAUUGCACAAGGCAUUGGUUUCCUUGGUGACAACUGUUGUCAGCUGCAUCAAGAGACUCACUAAGCAGAGAGUGGUUUUCUUUGCUUUUGGCAUUUAAAUUGUCAGAAUCUGUAAGUGGGGAUUUACCACUGAACUCUGACUUCUACUGGAAGUUCUCAUUAUCUGUGACCACUUAUCCCUGGUGCUAUCUUUUCUUCGAUGGAUCAUUCUGUUGACUUUGCUAGCUCUUUUGCAAAGAGGACCCAGGGAUUCUGAGUUCUUCCACUGCUAGACGAGUUGGGCCAUUGGCCUGAUCAAGCAGACUCCUCUUAUGUUCUUACAUUCUUACGUAUCAAAAUGCAUCCUAGACCACUCUCAUACGACAGAAACAGAAGUGCAAAUAAAAACACACUCUGAGAAAUCGUUUCGGCAUCUCCAGUCCACAUAAAUGAUCUUCAGAUAUCUGUUUACACACACUUCUGUAUGUGUCACAAAUACUUCAUGUGUUGAUUUCUAUGAAGCCCCAUGAAUCUGAAGCACUCUUGUGAACAUCAGGUGGUCCAUAGCUGACAGUGCAACAACAACUUCACAAAUUGUACUACUUAUAUAUGUGCGUGUACAUUGAAAAGCCAUGGGUGAAGGCACUGGCAUUGUUUUGGUAUGUAGCAUAUAAACAGAAAUAAUUGCAAUAAAAUAAAUGUGAAUUAUGCUGAACAUCUAAUAC